rnacentral:rRNA from 1 species
GACGAACGCUGGCGGCGUGCUUAACACAUGCAAGUCGAACGGAAAGGCCCCUUUGGGGGUACUCGAGUGGCGAACGGGUGAGUAACACGUGAGCAACCUGCCCUUGACUUCGGGAUAACUUCAGGAAACUGGGGCUAAUACCGGAUAGGAAUCCUUGCUGCAUGGUGGGGGUUGGAAAGCUUCGGCGGUUUUGGAUGGACUCGCGGCUUAUCAGCUUGUUGGUGGGGUAGUGGCUUACCAAGGCUUUGACGGGUAGCCGGCCUGAGAGGGCGACCGGCCACAUUGGGACUGAGAUACGGCCCAGACUCCUACGGGAGGCAGCAGUGGGGAAUAUUGCACAAUGGGCGGAAGCCUGAUGCAGCAACGCCGCGUGCGGGAUGACGGCCUUCGGGUUGUAAACCGCUUUCAGCAGGGGCGAAGCUUGUGGUGACGGUACCUGCAGAAGAAGCACCGGCUAACUACGUG